UACGUAGGGACCAAGCGUUGUUCGGAUUUACUGGGCGUAAAGGGCGCGUAGGCGGCGUGUUAAGUCAGUUGUGAAAUCUCCAAGCUUAACUUGGAACGGUCAACUGAUACUGAUGUGCUAGAGUGCAGAAGGGGCAACCGGAAUUCUUGGUGUAGCGGUGAAAUGCGUAGAUAUCAAGAGGAACACCUGAGGUGAAGACGGGUUGCUGGGCCUGCUUUGACACUCAGACGCGAAAGCAUGGGGAGCGAACGGG
rnacentral:rRNA from 1 species